rnacentral:rRNA from 1 species
UACGAAGGGGGGCUAGCGUUGUUCGGAAUUACUGGGCGUAAAGGGCGCGUAGGCGGCGUUUCAAGUCAGGCGUGAAAGCCCCGGGCUCAACCUGGGAAUUGCGUUUGAGACUGGAAUGCUUGAGUUCGGGAGAGGUGAGUGGAAUUCCCAGUGUAGAGGUGAAAUUCGUAGAUAUUGGGAAGAACACCAGUGGCGAAGGCGGCUCACUGGACCGACACUGACGCUGAGGCACGAAAGCGUGGGGAGCAAACAGGG